UCGAGUUGAAAUUUGUUUUAAGAUUCAUGAAUUUGGUUCUCUGUUAUGUGUUAGUUAUUAGUAUGCGGUGGUAUAGUUGUUUUUCGAUUAUUCUUGCUUUGGUAUUGUAUCCAAUUAACUAAUUGUCCAACUCAUAAUUAUAGAUGUACAAAUGUGGAUUUGUGAUAAAGUUUGAUGACAAUACUGUUUUUUUUUUAAUUUUUAUUCAUAGUGGAGUGUGCAUGUGUCAGAAAGAGGCAUAUAUCAACUUUUAUGUUUUU
rnacentral:lncRNA from 1 species